rnacentral:rRNA from 1 species
UACGAAGGGGGCUAGCGUUGUUCGGAAUUACUGGGCGUAAAGCGUGCGCAGGCGGCUUCUCAAGUCAGGGGUGAAAGCCCAGAGCUCAACUCUGGAAUUGCCUUUGAGACUGAGUGGCUUGAGUACGAGAGAGGUGAGUGGAAUUCCCAGUGUAGAGGUGAAAUCCGUAGAUAUUGGGAAGAACACCGGUGGCGAAGGCGGCGACCUGGUCCUUGACUGACGCUGAGGCGCGAAAGCGUGGGGAGCAAACAGG